rnacentral:rRNA from 1 species
GCCCUAAACCUCAGUAGUUAAAUAACAAAACUACUCGCCAGAAUACUACAAGCAACAGCUUAAAACUCAAAGGACUUGACGGUGCUUUACAUCCCCCUAGAGGAGCCUGUUCCGUAAUCGAUAAACCCCGAUCCACCCCACCCUCUCUUGCUCAGCCUAUAUACCGCCAUCUUCAGCAAACCCUAAUGAAGGCCACAAAGUGAGCGCAAACGCCACUGCCGCGAAUACGUUAGGUCAAGGUGUAGCCCAUGAGACGGUAAAAAAUGGGCUACAUUUUCUAUUUCAGAAAACCCACGAAAACCCUUAUGAAACUUAAGGGUCCAAGGAGGAUUUAGCAGUAAAUUAAGAAUAGAGUGCUUAAUUGAACCAGGCCAUAAAGCGCGCACACACCGCCCGUCACUCCUCUCAAAUAUAUUUAAGGAAUAUCCUAACUAAACGCCCUAAUAUUUAUAUAGAGAGGAUAAGUCGUAACAUGGUAAGCGUACUGGAAGGUGCGCUUGGAUAAAU